UGCGGAGGAGGUGCCUGGGAAAGCAAUUCGCCGCUGCAGUGCACAUCCGGAUGGAGGCUGCUCCAGAUGGCUUCUCAAGUUCAGCCCCAAGGCCUGGCGAGUGACCACUGCCACAGAUCUCCAUUCAUGUGUCUCAGUAGCCCCUUUUUUCCUACCUACCACAAAGUGCUCUCAGUGAGCCCUAGGGUGUCUGGCUGGGAGCAUAUGAAGAUGGAGUUCUCAGAAAAGAGCAAGAGGAAAGAUCAACCUCAGGAAAAGGAAAUCUGGACACAGACAAAUGGAGCAAUGACCAUGUGAAGACAGAGAGUAGACGGCCAUCUAUAAACCAUGGGAAGGGCC
ensembl:lncRNA